rnacentral:lncRNA from 1 species
UUAUCGUUUAAGCAUAUAACAUUUAUAUGAGACGGCUCAAACAAUAAUCUUUGCCCUUUAUAUUUAAACUACGUUAGUUUAACUUGUGAAAUGUCUGUAAAGUAUCAUCAUAUGAUUGGUUUUAGGGCACAUUUCCAACACUCCCCACAUGUAAUCUGAAUAAUCUCUGCAAUCCGAAUUGUAAGCGUUGGAAAACAUGUUGUCCCAUGAUUGGCUAUGGCCUUGAUAACCCCAAGCAUCUUCAUUCGCAGCAAAUUGAGAACAUUGAUGAGUUGGAUAACCUUGCCUAUAGGACACACCAUAUGUAGGGACACUUUGCAUUGUGGUCCGUUCAGGAUAUUGUGACAAUUGAGAAGUAAGUUUCGCCAAUUGAGCUUGAAUGGUAGCAAAAUCCAUGUCUUACUUCUCUAGUACCUGAAAUCAAGGAAAGAAAACUAAAUCAAAUAUCAAAAGUAAAACAAACAAACAAAAACAAAAAAAAAAACACAAACAGAAACAAAGUUAGUAACUAAAAAAAAAAGACACGAAAAUAUACAAAAAGAAAUAACAAGGGAUUAGCAAAGUUGCUGAUCCCUGGCAACGGCACCAAAAAUUUGAUGCAAAAAUUUGAUGCAAAAAUUACUUAACACACAAAUUAAACCCUCUUGUAUCAAUUGUAGUAAACAAUGUAAGUAGGGAUCAUUCUGGACCGGGGAUUAGGAGGGCUUGCUAAUAACCUCUAAACUGACUCAAAAACAUAAACGUAAGUUUAAAACACCAAACUAGACUCAAACGAUGCAAUACAAACUAAAAAGACUCAAAACUAGUUUAAAAGACUCAAAACAGCUUAAAACAAUGAAUUAGACUCUAAACUAACUCUAGGGAUGGUUUUGGACGAAAUUAGGUUCUAACUUGACUCAAGACACUUAAAAACACAAAUCAAAACAGAUUUUGACUAAUAAAUCACUUUAAAGUAAAGGGGGAUUUCAUUUUGACGAAUUUGAAAACAAAACAAACAAAUUGUAAACUAAAACAGAUUUUGGACGAAUUUGGGUAAACUAUGGAUGAUGGGCUAGCUAGAGGGUUCUUCUCCAUACAUGACACACUUGCACAUAAACCAAUUUUCAGUUGUUCUUUCGAUAAAUCAUGAAACUCAACACCCCAGGUUAAUUAAGUCUGCUUAAAUUAACCUUCAAGUUCUCCUUAAGUUAUUGAAUUGGAUGGGAAAUCGCAUACAACAAUUCAAGCAUUCUUCAAAAGUUCUUUUCGUGAACAGCACAAUAAAGAUACAAUCAAAGAUCAUUAAGCAUUAUGAAAACUAUAAGUAUUGACGAGGCAUUGGUUACUAUGAUGAGCAUGAAACUCCUGCCAAGAAUUCAUUUAACGCGAUCGUUUACAAGCGACCUCCACUACUUGUGAAUAUAAGUUUUUAACUAUUAGGUGAAACUCCCUUAUAGUCUAGCAUCAUAUCCAUGCAUGCAGACUAAGUGUGCAUUCUUAAUAAACAUACACGAAUAAGUUAUCAAUCAAGCAGUUAAACAAAUUGAAUUCACAACUUAUGAAAUCACAACGGAAGGUAAUCAAUUCAUAUUGCAAGUAUGUUCAUGGCUUUGAAUUCCCCCUAGCAAAGGGGGGUUUAGUUCCUCAUACUCAUAAAGCAAAGAUAAACAAAUUUAGACAUUGAAAACAAAAGAAUGAAAACACCUAAAAACGCUCCAACAAUCCAACUUGAAUGGCAAGCACGUCCAAGGGUCCUCCUUCUUCUCUUUGCUGCGGCACAAGGUGUGGUUUGAUGGAUGCAUAUGGAUAUAUGGAAGGGAAUGGCUGAAUGUGUUUAGGUUGGAUGGAGGUCAUGGCAAGGAAAGGGAAAUAAAGGCGCAUGGAAUUGUGUUUUUGUUGUGGGAAUGUGUAGAAUGGUUAAGAAGAAAAGACUCUGCCUUGCGGCAGAAUGUGUCUUCCUCCCUUCUCCCUAAACUGUCCCCCCUCGAUGUGUCUUUGGAUGGAUAUAUUUAUAGGCUAGGGAGAGGAUGUAGUGGGUGGUGGUAAUGAGUGGAUGUAGUGGUAGGUGAAUGUGAUGGGUGGUUGAAAUGAGUGGAUGUGUUGGGUGAAAUGAGUGGAUGUAGUGGUAGGUGAAUGGAUGUGUUGGGUGAAAUGAGUGGAUGUAGUGGUAGGUGAAUAUGUUGGGUGAUUGUAAUUAGUGGAUGUGUUGGGUGAAAUGAGUGGAUGUAGUGGUAGGUGAAUGUGUUAGGUGGUUGUAAAGAGUGGAUGUGUUGGGUGAAAUGAGUGGAUGUAGUGGUAGGUGAAUGGAUGUGUUGGGUGAAAUGAGUGGAUGUAGUGGUAGGUGAAUGUGUUGGGCGGUUGUAAUAAGUGGAUGUGUUGGGUGAAAUCAGUGUGCUAAAAUGGUUAUUUAUAGGGAAAGGAUGAUGCACAAACUUCAAAUUUCGUCCAUUCCUUUUGCUCUAAUCAUAUGCUAUCCAUUCCAUGCCUAAAAAUGCUCCAAAAUGCUCCAAAAUGCACUUCUUUGCCACAUUAACCCUUUGGACCUACAAACACACGAAAAUAGCUUAAAAUACUAAAAUAACUACGAACUAACAACUUAAAUGCCAAGAAACAAGCUAACUAAGUCGCAUAAAUAUGCUCCUAUCAGUACUCGAAAGGGAUACCAAUAUAUACCUUCUUCAUAUUUGGAGAAGUUUUAGGAGUGAAGCUGAAUUCUGAAUUUGCAAGAAUGAAGGAAAACGAUUAGUAAAUCGGAAAGCAAUCUAGCAAAAGUACAAAGUAACUGAAAGACUAAGUAGUCUACUUACCGAGGAUGAAGACUAUUGGAACACGCAACUCAGGGGAAGAAUCAGACUCCCAUUUUCCACUUAUCUCUAAAGUCUCCUUGGCCCAGUCAUGGUCUCCCUUACUCGAGUAGUCAAAGAGCUUAUGGCGAGAUUGCAGUUGCCAAACUCCUUCAAUGUGGACAAUGUCGAAGAAAUAAAAAAAUUCGUUGACAGUCAAAUCCAAGUCAAAGAAUUGGCUUAGAUUGUGAAAUCCCACCAUCACGUGAACCGCAUUGGGAGAACAUUGGGCAAAGGCACACUUCAUGGAGUAGGCACUUCUUGGAAGAAGCGCGGCAUGGGAAAAGUAAAUCUCAAUACGAAGUAAUAGGGAUGCAACUUGAUGGCUCUCUGAUUCCCACUACAUUGUUCAUGCCUAUAUGCCUCAAGAAAGUCUCUAAAUAAAUCAUCGGAGAUAAUUUUAACGUGAGCAGCCUUAAAGUAGCCAACCUUACUCAAAGACCUGCCUUGACGAUACAACAGCGGAGCACCAUCAUCAUUUUUGUUGCUUAAAGCAGACAUGCUCGAAGAAAUUCUACAAGGACGCAAGGAAAAUUCAUUAGACGGCUGCCCACAAAAAAAAAUGAAAGAAGACUCGAGGCACCAGGCCUUACGGCCCAAGACCGCAAAACCCAGUAAACAGCGCUGGGCCCUAUGGCCUGGACUGUAUUACUCCUCUCAGCCCACUCAAAUGGGCCAAAUACUC